UAGGGAAUUUUCGGCAAUGGGGGAAACCCUGACCGAGCAAUGCCGCGUGAGUGAUGAAGGCCUUCGGGUUGUAAAGCUCUGUUGUAAGGGAAGAAUGCUAUCGAUAGGGAAUGAUCGAUAGGUGACGGUACCUUACCAGAAAGCCACGGCUAACUACGUG
rnacentral:rRNA from 1 species